AAUGCCGGUUCUAUGUGAUAAUACCAGUGAACUGCUUUAUAGCAUAGAACCGGCAUUGUCACCUAGAACUGGUAUUAUCACAUAGAACCGGCAUUGUCACCUAGUAC